GGAGGGGGCUAGCGUUGUUCGGAAUUACUGGGCGUAAAGCGCGCGUAGGCGGACCUGCAAGUCGGGGGUGAAAGCCCGAGGCUCAACCUCGGAACUGCCUUCGAUACUGCGGGUCUCGAGUCCGGGAGAGGUGAGUGGAAUUCCUAGUGUAGAGGUGAAAUUCGUAGAUAUUAGGAAGAACACCAGUGGCGAAGGCGGCUCACUGGCCCGGUACUGACGCUGAGGCGCGAAAGCGUGGGGAGCAAACAGGAUUAGAUACCCUGGUAGUCCACGCCGUAAACUAUGGGUGCUAGCCGUCGGUCGGCAUGCCCGGUCGGGUGGCGCAGCAAACGCAUUAAGCACCCCCGCCUGGGGAGUACGGUCGCAAGAUUAA
rnacentral:rRNA from 1 species